AGGCAUCCUAGGGGACGGGAGUCAGACAGGCGAGUUAGAGGAGGUCAAGUUGGGAGAAUGGCUGAGUCCUCAGGAGCGUACCCAAGUACUGCAGAAAGCCACCUUUCUGCAAUGUGCCCGGGUACACCCCUUUGACACCAGGUCAACUCCCACUAUGCCAACCCCCAUACCAAAUCCCUGAAUCUGUACAGGAGAAUAUACAGAAGGAGAUGCAGAUCAGCUCCCACUACGGUAACCCCC